CUCUGGUUCCUCUGCAUCCAACGAGAAAAUCUUUCGCCUUUUACUAAAGAUUUCCGUGCAGAGGAACAUUUAUGAG
rnacentral:snRNA from 1 species